AUGGGCCUUCGCCUGUUACUUUUAGCACCCCACGUAUUUUUGUCCCAUCAGCGCCCUUUAAUUUUCCUGUUCAAUCAAAAUAAUAAUGCACCUCCCCUUUUCAUGUUAUUUUAUUUUUCUAAUUUAUUUUCUGUUUUGAUUUUAAUUUUUUAAAAUAUUUUCUUUAUUCAUAAAAAUAUCCAAAAAUAUUUUCCAUAUUUCUUGAUGCACUAUUUAAUUUUAUUUAAUUUUUAUUUUUGUAUUUAUUUAAUGUUAAUAUUUUAUUUUAAUUAUUCUUUCCAAGUGGUUCAUUUUAACACACAUUUAACUCUUGAUUUUAUUUUCAUGACUUAG
rnacentral:lncRNA from 1 species